GGGGGUGACAGGUUUCGACGAUCAGAUUCCUGCGCCCGGAGAAGCGUGUCGAGAAUGUUGGGUCAACUCGUUAAUGUCCCCGGCAACUAAUAACUGCCAACAAAAAGCAGUCCGCGUUCGCUCUCGCUGCCUAAGCGAUCGACGCCGUCAGACCGAGAAGUUCCCGACUCGGAACCUGGCGCCAUCUAGGGAACUCACCAAACGCCCCGGUCACGGGGGCGCGCGGAACAUCUCACAGUGACUGGGCCGCCACCGCGUAGUGCCGCACGAAGCGCGGGGGCCGAGAAGCAAUAGCGCGGCUACACACGUAGAAGGCCGGAGUAGUCCUGAACGGACCCGGGUUCGAUUCCCGGCACCUCCAC
rnacentral:tmRNA from 1 species